AGGAUAAUAGUUAAAUUAACAUCUAAUUUGCAUUUAGAAAAUACUGAAUAGCCAGUUUAUCUUA
rnacentral:tRNA from 1 species